rnacentral:rRNA from 1 species
GACGAACGCUGGCGGCGUGCUUAACACAUGCAAGUCGAACGGAAAGGCCCUGCUUUUGUGGGGUUCUCGAGUGGCGAACGGGUGAGUAACACGUGAGUAACCUGCCCUUGACUUUGGGAUAACUUCAGGAAACUGGGGCUAAAACCCGAUAGGAGCUCCUGCUGCACGGGGGGGGUUGGAAAAUUUCGGCGGUUGGGGGUGGACUCGCGGCUUAUCAGCUUGUUGGGGGGGUAGUGGCUUACCAAGGCUUUGACGGGUAGCCGGCCUGAGAGGGUGACCGGCCACAUUGGGACUGAGAUACGGCCCAGACUCCUACGGGAGGCAGCAGUGGGGAAUAUUGCACAAUGGGCGGAAGCCUGAUGCAGCAACGCCGCGUGCGGGAUGACGGCCUUCGGGUUGUAAACCGCUUUCGCCUGUGACGAAGCGUGAGUGACGGUAAUGGGUAAAGAAGCACCGGCUAACUACGUG